UACGAAGGGUGCAAACGUUGCUCGGAAUUAUUGGGCGUAAAGCGCGCGUAGGCGGCAUUGCAAGUCGGAUGUGAAAUCCCUCGGCUUAACCAAGGAAGUGCAUCCGAAACUGCAGUGCUUGAGUACUUAAGAGGAUCGCGGAAUUCCCGGUGUAGAGGUGAAAUUCGUAGAUAUCCGGAGGAACACCGGUGGCGAAGGCGGCUUCCUGGACCGACACUGACGCUGAGGCGCGAAAGCUAGGGGAGCAAACGGG
rnacentral:rRNA from 1 species